ACGGCUCAGUAACACGUGGAUAACCUGCCCUUGGGUCCGGCAUAACCCCGGGAAACUGGGGAUAAUACCGGAUAACGCAUAUAUGCUGGAAUGCUUUAUGCGUAAAAUGGAUUCGUCUGCCCAAGGAUGGGUCUGCGGCCUAUCAGGUAGUAGUGGGUGUAAUGUACCUACUGGCCAACAACGGGUACGGGUUGUGAGAGCAAGAGCCCGGAGAUGGAUUCUGAGACAUGAAUCCAGGCCCUACGGGGCGCAGCAGGCGCGAAAACUUUACAAUGCGGGAAACCGUGAUAAGGGGACACCGAGUGCCAGCAUCAUAUGCUGGCUGUCCGGGUGUGUAAAAUACACCUGUCAGCAAGGGCCGGGCAAGACCGGUGCCAGCCGCCGCGGUAACACCGGCGGCCCGAGUGGUGAUCGUGAUUAUUGGGUCUAAAGGGUCCGUAGCCGGUUUGGUCAGUCCUCCGGGAAAUCUGACGGCUCAACCGUUAGGCUUUCGGGGGAUACUGCCAGGCUUGGAACCGGGAGAGGUAAGAGGUACUACAGGGGUAGGAGUGAAAUCUUGUAAUCCUUGAAGGACCACCAGUGGCGAAGGCGUCUCACCAGAACGGAUCUGACGGCAAGGGACGAAAGCUAGGGGCACGAACCGGAUUAGAUACCCGGGUAGUCCUAGCCGUAAACGAUACUCGCUAGGUGUCGGCCACGGUGCGACCGUGGUCGGUGCCGUAGGGAAGCCGUGAAGCGAGCCACCUGGGAAGUACGGCCGCAAGGCUGAAACUUAAAGGAAUUGGCGGGGGAG
rnacentral:rRNA from 1 species